GAUGAACGCUGGCGGCGUGCUUAACACAUGCAAGUCGAACGGAAAGACGCUGAUUUUGUGGGGUGCUCGAGUGGCGAGCGGGUGAGUAAAACAUGAGUAACCUGCACUUGACUGUGUGGUAACUUUACGAGACUGGGGCUAAUACCGGAUAUGAGCUCCUGCAGCGCGGGGGGGGAUGGAGAGAUUCGGCGGUUGUGGAUGGACUAGCGGCUUAUCCGCUUGUUGGUGUGGUAGUGGAUUACCAAGGCUUUGACGGGUAGCCUGCCUGAGAGGCGGGCCGGGCACAUUGGUACUGCGAUACGGCGCAGAAUCCUACGGGAGGCAGCAGGGGGGAAUAUUGCACAAUAGCGGGGAGCCUGAUGCAGCGACGCCGCGUGCGGGAUGACGGCUUUCGAGUUGUAAACCGCUUUCGCCUGUGACGAGGCGUGAGUGACGGUAAUGGGUAAAAAAGCACCGGCUAACUACGUG
rnacentral:rRNA from 1 species